GAUGAACGCUGGCGGCGUGCCUAAUACAUGCAAGUCGAGCGAACGGACGAGAAGCUUGCUUCCCUGAUGUUAGCGGCGGACGGGUGAGUAACACGUGGAUAACCCACCUAUAAGACUGGGAUAACUUCGGGAAACCGGAGCUAAUACCGGAUAAUAUUUUGAACCGCAUGGUUCAAAAGUGAAAGACGGUCUUGCUGUCACUUAUAGAUGGAUCCGCGCUGCAUUAGCUAGUUGGUAAGGUAACGGCUUACCAAGGCAACGAUGCAUAGCCGACCUGAGAGGGUGAUCGGCCACACUGGAACUGAGACACGGUCCAGACUCCUACGGGAGGCAGCAGUAGGGAAUGUUCCGCAAUGGGCGAAAGCCUGACGGAGCAACGCCGCGUGAGUGAUGAAGGUCUUCGGAUCGUAAAACUCUGUUAUUAGGGAAGAACAUAUGUGUAAGUAACUGUGCACAUCUUGACGGUACCUAAUCAGAAAGCCACGGCUAACUACGUG
rnacentral:rRNA from 1 species